GCCCUGUUGAAAAAUGGCGCCGAUCUGUGAUUCAAACUUCUUUGAAACAGAUGGGUUGGAUAGGUAAAAGACAUGGCUUAAGACUAAAAAGAGUACACAUGCUUGCUCCAAAGGAUGAGAUAGCUGAUGCGUCUGCCUUAGGCUCACUUUGUUACCAAACAGAGACAGUCAUCCUACAUCAAAAAGGGCACUCAAAAAAAGACACGCCAAAUUAGGUUGUUUGUUUCAGUAGCCUAGCCCAAACCAAACCAAAACAAACUAUCUCGAUGUUCCAAACCCAAUCUAUGAUACCUUUUGAAUCUGGUCAAACGAAUCACCCCUUUUCCUUUUUUUCUUUUGGAUUAAAUUUCAAAUUUGGCAUAUGAACAUUUAGAGUUAUGUUGCCGUUGAAAUCCAAAGA